AGCAAACAAUGCCCUCCAACAAUAAGGAGUGUUUUUAAAAUUGGACCAAUCAUUGAAUUGUUAGUCCACAUGCAACAUGCACUAGUAAUGGGAGUUAGAGCAUCUAUAAUGGCAGUUCAUUAGUUUUUCAUACCAACAAACCCACCUUUUUCUCGAUUGUCCGCUGUAGUGCAUAGGGGGAUUGCCAUGUCAGAUCAUCUGUUCUUCAGUAAGAACUCUAACAAAUUGGAUCUUAAGAAUCAAUUUUUUGGUAUAAAUAACAGAGAAGAAAGGGAAAGUAACGGUUAUCAAUCUAUAUCCUAUAUAAUAAAAGAGAAGUAUAGAAAAAAUGCUGGUGUGUCCAUGCUUGAAAAUUAGACAGUUGUCCUUUUUAAUGGUUUUUGGUCAUUUUGGGUGUCCAAUUCCCACUCCUCUGGUUGUGCAACGUUGCUUUGUUUCAGUCGGUUUUCAUUUUUUGGGUGUGCCACGUUGCUUGAUGUGUUUCAACCAGUUUUCAUUUUUUGCCCUUGCAUGUUCCACCCAUUGAUCUUUUCUUCACUUUUGUAUCAUCCGUUCAUUCCUUUUCCGCAUCACACUUUGUUGGUUGCUCCACGUAUUGCUCCACGUGUCUUCUUUUUCAGCCUUCAUCCCGAGCCUUCUCACUUUCCAUUUUAUCUUUCCAUUUCUCUCUCUCCCGUGCUUUCUAGAGCUAGUGUUUUGGGAGGAGUAGCGAUUCAUUUUUUUAAUUGUGAGAGAAGAGAAGAGGACGACAAAGAAGAAGAUUGCUUUUGGCAUUGCAUGCAUAUGGGGUAUGUUUUAUGAAUCCAACCAUAGCUGGAAAAAAAAAGUUGACUCCUUUUUUUUUCCUUUUACCUUGGAGUUUUUGGUGUGCUGAAUUGCGAGGAUGUUUUGGGAAUUGGGGAUUUUGUGUUUUGGUUGGGUUGGGUGGUGUGGAUGCAUUGCAUGAAUGUGUGGAAUUUGGAAAUGUUUGAGAGAUUGUGCUGUUCUGUUGUAAAUUGUGGAGUUUUUUUUUUUACGAUCCCGGAGAUGAAGAAACCACCUACGAUCAUGAAGAGUGCCUGAUUUGCUUUCUGGUAUGAUUUCUAUCGCAUGCCUUCAAUAUUUGUUUGUCUUUACUUAUCCUGUUACUCUAGCUGUCAAUUCAACUAUGCACACUCCUUUCAAACUGCAAAAUUGACCUCCUGGCUACCUUGGUUGGAUUUAAUGAUUUAUAUGGAGGAGCACCCGUGCAAAGGAUCACAUAGGAAGUGUUGUAAGGUUUGCUAUGGUGGUGCUUCACAAGUUGCAGUUUGUGUUCCUGUUUAAGGGACUGUGGGAAACAAGUGUACUUGGGUGAGGACGCAAGGCAAGUAGAAGAUUUGUUUUAUAUUAACUACAACUUUCUUUAAUAUCACAUUCUUUUUCUUUAUUUUCUUUUAGGUGGAUUUGACACAGUGCAUGUUGCGGCAAGGGCUUAUGAUCGAUCUGCGAUCAAGUUCCGUGGCGUUGAUGCAGAUAUCAAUUUCAACGUUAGCGAUUACGAUGAAGAUAUAAAGCAGUUUGUGGAUUUUAUGUGCAAAUGAGUAACUUCACGAAGGAGGAGUUUGUGCAUAUUUUACGGCGACAGUGCACUGGUUUUUCAAGGGGAAGCUCCAAAUAUAGGGGAGUUACUCUGCCCAAGUGCGGGCGAUGGGAUUCUAAGUUGCAGCAAAGGAAGGUGGUAGAGGACCAAGUGUAUGGGAUACCUUUACCCAUAAAUAUCCAGAUAAGAUCAAGGAUGGAAGUAACGGCGACAUAGCGAUUGGCUCCUACCACCACUAGGGAAGGUGGAAAAGGACCAAGUAUAUGGGAUACUUUCACUCAUAAAUAACCAAGUAUAUGAACCAAAUCAACCAAUGGUGUUCAAGCAAAAGAAAAUGUCACUUGAGCAGAUUAUAUGCAGCAGGUACAUCGCCUCAUUUUACCGCUUACUGAAGACAAUAAAAGUGUUACAAGGAGGAGUGAAGAUGGAAGAAGCCAUUACCAAAGCCAAAUUAAAAGCAAACUUUGGCAUUGGAAUCAUUAUCAGGACCAUGAGGGUGAAAUUUUGGAAGCUGCAACAAAGUUUAUGCCAAAUACUUAUAGUAUCAGAGUGGUAGAAUCUCUAGCCUUGAGAUGGUGUAUUGAAGUCAUGUAAUAAGGGACCAACACUGCAUUACGCAUAUUUUGAUUAGGGGUGGGUAAGCGGGCCGGCCCGCCCCUAUAAGCCCGCAUUGGCAGUGGACCGGGCCAAUCCGCCCUGCUUCUUACACGAACCAAAUAAAUUGGUCCACCCCCGUCCCGCGUACCCCGCGGGUCAAAUGGGCCGGUCCACGGGCCUAAUUUUAAUAGAAUUUUAAUUUUAAUAAAAAUAGAAUACAAUCA